rnacentral:rRNA from 1 species
AUGGGAGACAUGAAUGACCUUCUGUAUGAUAUGGACAAGAGCUCCCACUCUGUGAAUACUAGUCGUAUGCAUGCCUUUCGCAACAUCGUCAAAAACUGUGGGUUCUUUGACUUGGGUUAUAGUGGCCCUGCAUAUACUUGGACUAACAAACGUUAUACUUCCAUGCCAACUUUUGAGCGUCUUGACAGAUGUUUGGUAAAUGCAGAAUGGUGUGCUUUAUACCCUAUCACUAAUGUUUACAAUUUGCCUAUUACCAUUAGUGAUCAUGCUCCCAUUCUCAUAUCCACAGAAGGUAAAUUUAAGAAGCCUUUGCAAAGUUUCAAAUUUGAAAAUUGGUGGCUUAUGGAAAAAGACUUUCAUGAUCAUGCUAAAGCGGCCUGGAGUAGUACUACUCAUAGACCUUAUUAUGCUAGAACUAACCAUCUUGCAGGCUCACUGAAAAAAUGGUGUAAGAAGAAAAAGCCACUGAACUAG